rnacentral:rRNA from 1 species
UAGGGAAUCUUCCACAAUGGGCGAAAGCCUGAUGGAGCAACGCCGCGUGUGUGAUGAAGGGUUUCGGCUCGUAAAACACUGUUGUAAGAGAAGAAUGACAUUGAGAGUAACUGUUCAAUGUGUGACGGUAUCUUGCCAGAAAGGAACGGCUAAAUACGUGCCACCAG